CCGAAGUACUUUAGAGUGGACUU
rnacentral:siRNA from 1 species